AAGAAAGGCCUGAGGCAACAAGCACUGCUAAUUCUUUAACCCACGGUUAAAUUCCGUGGCUUUCUUG
rnacentral:tRNA from 1 species